CUUCUCCUCCUUCUCCCUCAAAGGCCAGCCUUUCCCGUCUGCCUGGGCGCAUCUCCACAUCUUCACCCCCUUUUCUGUUCUUCUCCGCGACUGCUGAGUCUUGAGAACUGAGACCCUUGGGCCAGGCAAUAACAGCUUGUGCUACCUUCUAUUCCAUUCAUCCUCACAGCCUUAAACCUGUACAGCCCCGGACUCUUCUCCAUUCCACUUGCAAAAAGCGGUGAGGGUCGUUAGGACUUAAGUUUUUAGUGCGAUCUCAGCUAAGCGGUUUUUGUUGUUGUUGUUGUUAAAUGGAGGCUGGGUGUGCUCUUGUAUGGGAACUUACAGAGAGGAAAAGAGACCGGAGGGUCCUGAGCUCUGGAAAACUGGGCUCUCUGGAGAACACAGUUUUCUCUGCAAAUUCUACCAAUCUAUGCCCAGGAAACACCAAAGCCUUGUAGCUGGCCUCUUCUUGACCAGUGCAGGGUUUAGACUGCAGGAGUCUUUACUCUUUGCCACCCCUUUUUCUGUUAGGCUUGUUGAAACUGGGGAAAUUUUCACAGAAAAUUGCAUGACUCCUUCGGAGUCCUUUCCUCUCCCAGCAUGAAUAACCACUAUGAGGCUGCUUUAAUUUGUGGUCUGUGGUCUGUUCAAGUUCAUAUUGAACUUUAUAUCCCAGGGCAAUGAGCUUCCUCACCUCUUUCUCAGUCCUCCUGUACUGGACAGUCCUGUAGCUGACUUACCUGGACAGCCCUUCCUCUACAAAAGUCUUGCCUGGGCCUCCUCUUCUCCCCUGGGGGGGGGUGCGGGGGGGUUACCAGACUCCAAAGAUGACCAUCAGGUCACCUCCUCCUCAAAUUGGGAUAAAGAGCAGACAUGAGGCCAGAUGGAGUGGAAACCAUUUCUUGACUCAACUCUGUUGGUGUUUUUCCUAAUAAAACACUUUAGCUACAUGUUUGAUUUCCCAAGAGGGUUUUCAGCCCCUUUGAACAAUGCAGUAAUUCAACUUUUGGGGCAUUAGACUUUCAAAACUAGCUGGACCUUAGCACUGGACGGUUCUCACUCUUACAGGUUCUUCUCUGUGGACUGUGCAUGACUGUUUCCAUGUGAUGCUACUGAUAGUUUUGGAUGCAUUUUCAUCCCUGUUGUUAUCUUUCCAUCAUUAUUACAGGGUCAUAAUGUACAGCAGCUGCCUGGUGCACAGGGAUCUUAAGAGAAUUAUCUAUGCCACUGUUUUCAAACCUUAAAGAUGAAAGAAUCUGUGUGUGUAUGGGGAGGGGGGUGGGUCUCAGAAAUGGUGCCUGAGGAGAUGGAGUUAUAUUUUGUCUUUCCUGCUCUGUUCAGUUUUUCUGGGCUGGACUUUGUUCCUGGUCAUUGAUCACCUGGUUGCUAGACUUGAGUAGACAACUAUUGUCUAGAGAACAAUGGCUUUGGAAAUAUGAAUGUUUCCCAAGGAUCAAUCAGAUAUUCAUCUUAAACCUUGAACUCAUUCCUUCAAAGAUGUUGGACAGCUGGAAAUGGCAUGAACAGUGCACUUGCCCACUUAAGCAGAACAUCGGACCUGUCUCCAGGAACACUUAUGACGUAGUAUUUAGUUAUUCUAUGUCUUUUAAGCUUUUGAUGUCUUUUAGUGUAUUGGAGAAUAUUUUAAAUGAGCUGACAAUUUAGGACGGUCUUUGGAGUGGUGUGUUUCAAGUAAACAAAACUGUGGAGCUCAUUCAUCACCUAUCAGCAGAAAAUUAGGUAAUACACUGUAUUUCAGUCAUUGUUUAAUUGUGUUAUUUGGAUAAUAAAACAAAAAAGAGUAAAACCAAAAGGCUAGCUGUAAUUUGGCAUCAUCCCGACACUCAAGUUCUUUCAACUUUUGUUUUCCUAGCUGGUCUUACUGAUGUGGCAUAAACAAAGCCAGCAUGAUGUCAGCAGUUUGAAAUUUGUUUUGUCAGUUGUAUUUUCCCCAUGUUCUCUUCUAGAUCUAAGUGCUGGACCAUCUCAACAUGAUUAUACCCAGAAAUGUCCCAGUCUAGUCCUGCUGCUGCCUACUCCAGAUCCACCCCAACAACGGAGCUCAUUCUCUCCAUCACCCACCCUCUUUCCUUCUCUUCCUCCUUUUCUUCUUCUUCUCCUUCUCCUCCUUCCUUCUCCUCUCCUUCUCCUCUCCUUCUCCUCCUUCUCCUCCUCCCUUCUCCUCCUUCUCCUUCUUCUCCUCCUUCUCCUCCUUCUCCUCCUUCUCCUCCUUCUCCUCCUUCUCCUCCUUCUCCUUCUUCUCCUUCUUCCCUCCCCUUCUCUUUCUCCUUUCUCUUUCCCUCCUUUCUCCUUUAGACCAUGACUCUAUUCAAUAUAUUUCCCAAGCUGGUCUCAAACUCCUAGAGUCAAAUGAUCCUCUGGCCUCAUCCUCCCAAGUAACUGGUAUUGCACUUGCACAAUGCUCUAGGUACGGAGUAGCUUUUAACCUUUGUUGCUAGCAUACCUACUUCUAGAGAAUAAUAAUGAAAAGCACAGUAUAAAUCUGUCCUGGAAUGACUAUGUUGGGCUCUGUGCCCAGAGGAACAGAGUUGGGAAGAUCUAAAGAGAUGAAAGGGCAAUUGUUGACUCCAGGAUCCUCAGAGCUGUAGGUGAGAGCCAGGUGGUUCAGGUCUCGGCAAUGAUGGAAAGGAUCCAGAAACAGAUAGUAGAACAGGAUUCUCCAAGUAGAAUCAGCAAGCGCGGUAGAAUAGUCUAAGUCUGCUCCCCCUCCAAAUCCUUUAUGUCUACUGAUGCAGAUGAAUGUGUAUAAAGAGCUAUGUUCUCAGCCACACGGCACCCUCAGAAUUCCCAAGAUUUGUGCCAUUCCCAACACAUUCACCAAACCAUGUAUUUUUAUGGACAUGUCCCAUCUGCGGUGGAUUCUGAGCAGGGGUCAAUGCUGAAGUGGGUGUGGUACAGCUCACAGCAGCCAGGGAUCAAUUUGGCUUGAUUUGCAGCAGUUGUUGGAAUGAGAUGUCAUCUGGCAUUUGAAUGCUUGGUGCAUAGUUGGUAGGUAUAUGAGGAGAAUUAGUGAUAUGGCUUUGUCGGAGGAAAUAUGUCACUGAGGAUAAGUUGUGAGGCUUCAAAAUACUCAAAUCAUUUCCAGUUGGUGUUUUGCUUCCUGUUUGUGGUUUGAGAUGUGAGCUCUCCACGGCUCUAGCUACCCACUACCAACUACCUCCACUCUGCCAUCAUGGACUCUAACCCUUUGCAACUGUAAGCCCCCAAAUAAAUCUUUCCUUCU
rnacentral:lncRNA from 1 species